AUUGAACACUGGCGGCAUGCCUUACACAUGCAAGUCGAACGGCAGCACGGGGGCAACCCUGGUGGCGAGUGGCGAACGGGUGAGUAAUACAUCGGAACGUGCCCAAUCGUGGGGGGAUAACGUAGCGAAAGCUACGCUAAUACCGCAUACGAUCUACGGAUGAAAGCGGGGGAUCGCAAGACCUCGCGCGAAUGGAGCGGCCGAUGGCAGAUUAGGUAGUUGGUGGGGUAAAGGCUCACCAAGCCAACGAUCUGUAGCUGGUCUGAGAGGACGACCAGCCACACUGGGACUGAGACACGGCCCAGACUCCUACGGGAGGCAGCAGUGGGGAAUUUUGGACAAUGGGCGAAAGCCUGAUCCAGCCAUGCCGCGUGCGGGAAGAAGGCCU
rnacentral:rRNA from 1 species